rnacentral:rRNA from 1 species
GACGAACGCUGGCGGCGUGCUUAACACAUGCCAGUCGAACGGAAAGGCCCUGCUUUUGUGGGGUGCUCGAGUGGCGAGCGGGUGAGUAACACGUGAGUAACCUGCCCUUGACUUUGGGAUAACUUCAGGAAACUGGGGCUAAUACCGGAUAGGAGCUCCUGCUGCAUGGUGGGGGUUGGAAAGUUUCGGCGGUUGGGGAUGGACUCGCGGCUUAUCAGCUUGUUGGUGGGGUAGUGGCUUACCAAGGCUUUGACGGGUAGCCGGCCUGAGAGGGUGACCAGCCACAUUGGGACUGAGAUACGGCCCAGACUCCUACGGGAGGCAGCAGUGGGGAAUAUUGCACAAUGGGCGGAAGCCUGAUGCAGCAACGCCGCGUGCGGGAUGACGGCCUUCGGGUUGUAAACCGCUUUCGCCUGUGACGAAGCGUGAGUGACGGUAAUGGGUAAAGAAGCACCGGCUAACUACGUG